AUGAAGGCGGAGGGGGGCGACGCCUCCAUGAUCAACCUGUCGGUGCAGCAGGUCCUGAGCCUCUGGGCCCACGGGACGGUGCUGAGGAACCUCACGGAGAUGUGGUACUGGAUCUUCCUCUGGGCCCUCUUCUCCUCUCUGUUCGUCCAUGGUGCUGCCGGAGUGCUGAUGUUCGUGAUGCUGCAGAGGCAUCGGCAAGGGAGAGUCAUCUCCGUCAUCGCCGUCAGCAUCGGAUUUCUGGCUUCCGUGACUGGAGCGAUGAUCACUAGUGCCGCCGUGGCCGGCAUUUACCGCGUGGCCGGGAAGAACAUGGCCCCCUUGGAAGCCCUGGUGUGGGGCGUCGGACAGACAGUCCUGACGCUCAUCAUCUCCUUCUCAAGGAUCCUCGCCACACUCUGAGGUUUCUGUGGGAAUGUCUUCACUUCACAUAAGGAAACAGACGUACAGAUUCUCUGAAAACAGCAUCGUUAGCGAGUGGGCAGGAGAUCGUACCAGGACGAGGAAGGAGCAGGUCAAAACACAGGCCUCGGGCCGUGUGGGAAGGUCGCCCUCUGGUGUUCAAUGAUUGCACUACCGCACCGCACCUUACGUGCCUCCGUCCCGGGCAAGGCGCAUUGCUACGCGAAGCUACAAGAAAAAGCACCUUGUUUAGCUGCCAAUCAGGAAAAGAAGUCUGAAAUGCACAUCCUAUUCUUGACCCUUCUGAAGAAAGUUUCUGCCAUGUGUCUCAUGGAGAAAACAUCUUUACAACUAGUAUCUCAGUGGGAUUAUAUUACUUGUUGCAUAUAUCUUGAUUUUUGGCAAAACGUAAGCAGUCUUUCAUCCUGCAGUAUCAAAUAUAUAUAAAGAGUGGCCUAAACUAGGCUGUGAAAACAAGAAGCCUCACUUGUAGUUAAGAAACAAGUCAUAUAGGAAGAAUAAUAAAUGAUCUUAUUUUGUCUGUGUGGUAGCAUCAUAAUUUCUCUAAGUAAAAAUUGGGGAAUAUAGUAAAUUUAAAAUUUGGCAGUUAUUCUCAGCAUAUCAGUACAGUGUUGAACAUAUAUUAAGUGAUUCAUUUCAGUUUUUCAACUCUUGUUUUAUUCUGUUAUUUAAAUUUACUAGCAUCUACAAUGACAUUUAUUAGAAUGAAAAAAAUCAUUAGUAUAAAACAUUUUAAGAGAUUUUGGCAAUAUGUAAUUGUAUUUAAGAGUAUAAGAAGUAAGGGAAGCAUAGAAACUGGUUGAAUUUGUCUCCUAUUGAGACUUUUUUUGAAUAUUAGAUACAAUUAUACAUUGUUGUUUAGUUGCUAAUCACGUCUGACUCUUUGCGACCCCAUAGACUGUAGCCCCUCUCAGGCUCCUC